rfam:Gossypium hirsutum cultivar TM-1 chromosome 19, whole genome shotgun sequence
UGUUAAAAUUUUCAUCUAUUUCUACUAUUACAAACUAGUGUAAUAGACAAAAUAGCCAAACAAUUGUACGUGGUGAGCUUAGUGUGCCUCAUGUUGGUAUACGUGAACAAAUUUUUAACAGUUAAAAUAUAUGCAAUUUUAAAAA